GGUGGUUCUCAGGUGACACACCCUGAAAUCAGGCUCCCUCCUCUCUGGUUCCUGGUGCAUCACCCAAGAACUGCC
rfam:Myotis lucifugus cont2.6854, whole genome shotgun sequence.